GGGCAGAGUGGAGAGCAGGAGGUCAGGAGCGGCCAGGGCAGCAGAGGGCGAGGGAGGAAGCGGCCAGGGGUGCACCCCUAGGGCACCCCACCCAAGACCCCUUGUACUUCACUUACAGAGGACAACUCAAAGACAGAAGUCUGAAGAAUGUCAGGAUGCCUGUCCUUCCCCAUGCAUGAAUCCCAACUGGGCCUCUGAGUGCAGGGCUGUCUGUGACCCAGCCCACAACACUGGCUCUUCCGUGUCACCCAAGUGGGUGCAGGAUGGGUGCCCAGGAACCUCCCUUAGGAACUUCAAUCCCCGUGGCAGAGAUGCCUGAGAUCUAGAGAGUAAACUCCAAAGAGGCUCCCAAGUCACCCUCUGAGGACGGCAGUCUCCCCACUUUGUGGAAGUGUUUACAAGGCACUGCGACUUGGCAGAAACUCGUCAGAUGAAAAACCACAGCCUUGUUAUGGGACAUUAAUCACCCACAAUGGACAAUGUCUCUUCUGCUGUGUGUUUGUGUGGCACCACUUUUCUCCUUCCGAGAAACACUUUCCACAGAUGUAGCCUUUGCUUCUGAACAGAUCCUGAUUGUUGAAAACAGAAAAGGCCAUGUCGAGCAAUUGGUUCAUAGAUGUCUGCAGUCCCAUCUGAAGUUUCUUCAUUAAACAGAUGGGACAGACCGAAAGCACCUGAGAAACAGGUGGGAAUCCAAGGACAGGAUCAUCAAAGAUACUGCUCUCUUCCUCAGGAGCCCUUCUAAAUACCAUAGAUUCUGGGUUUUUCCUGGGAUGAACAGUUAUAAAAGCAUGAACAUAAGGGAUUUACUCCACCUUCUAUGUUUUAAGCAGAAACAAUUUAAAUGCAAAAUAGUGUCAUAAUUUAAACUGCCAUCUCUUGCCAUUUCCUAGUUCACACUGAACCCAAAUUGUUUUGUAAUAAUAGAUACAUUGAUCCUUUUUCAAAUUGGCAAGAUCAACCCUUUUCCACUGAUCAAGGAUAUGGCUUUGCAGUGAAGUUGGUGAAUCUGCAGGGCGAGGUUCAUGAGGUUUCCCAUGCCUCAUCUUGGGGCCUAUAAAGAGAGGCAACUAGGUCUCAGGUCCUGAAGGUGAUAUUCCAUGCAGAAGAAAGAGACCUAGCUGGGUGUGAUGGCACAUGCCUGUAAUCCCAGCACUUGGGAGGCUGAGGUGGGAGGAUCACUGAGAGUGAGUUUGAGGCCAGCCUGGGCUACAUAGUGAGUUCAAGGCCAGCCUGCACUACAAAGUAAGACCCUGUCUAACCCCCCCCCAACCCCACCAAAAAAAAAAAAGAAAGGAAGGAAGGGAGCAGAGGGCAGACUGAUGGCUGGAGAAGCCCUGUUCCUGAGGGUGGGAUAGGUGAGGAAUGCCCUGCCCCUCUUCUCCAGUCCACCAGAGCCUGGUCCCUCUCAGACCAGCUGUGGGGACUAGAGAAGAGACACCCUUCUGACUUCCUCUCUCUGCAGUGGUAGCCUUCUGGGAGCCUCUGUACCCAUGGCAACAGGUUAUUCUGCUUGUACUCCCCUGGGACAGAAAGCUCAUUAGCCC
rnacentral:lncRNA from 1 species